GAUAUUCUAUAGACUGUAGUGUGAAUACUUCUAAACCUUUCCUUUCUGUUUAUGCUUCUGACUGAGCAUGGAGGAAAGGACCCAGGUAUAAAAAUGACUACAACAUUCCCUAUGUGGUUUUGUGUGAACACAUGCAGACAGUAAGGCCAUUG